GAUGAAGAACGUAGCGAAUUGCGAUAAGUAAUGUGAAUUGCAGAUACUCGUGAAUCAUUGAAUUUUUGAACGCACAUUGCGCCCCCUGGUAUUCCGGGGGGCAUGCCUGUCCGAGCGUCAUUGCUGCCCUCAAGCACGGCUUGUGUGUUGGGCCCCCGCCCCCCGGUUCCCGGGGGGCGGGCCCGAAAGGCAGCGGCGGCACCGCGUCCGGUCCUCGAGCGUAUGGGGCUUCGUCACCCGCUCCGUAGGCCCGGCCGGCGCCCGCCGGCGACCCCCCCUCAAUCUUUCCAGGUUGACCUCGGAUCAGGUAGGGAUACCCGCUGAACUUAAGCAUAUCAAUAAGCGGAGGA
rnacentral:misc_RNA from 1 species